rnacentral:sRNA from 1 species
CUCCCUUCCCUCCUGAGGUCGGGGCUUUCCCUUCCUGAGCAGCCACCUCCCGCCCUCUGGCUCACAGAGGCACCCACUACCUGCGGGGCGUGAACAACGCGCGCCAGCCGUGGCACAACGCGGAGGGCCGGCUGCGGUACGGGCUGCGGCCGGCGAACCCCACGGAGGAGGGCCUGGCCAGCCUGCACAGCGUGCUGUUCCGCAAGCAGCCGUUCCUGUGGCGCGCUGCGCUGCUCUACUACACCAUCCACCGCGCCGCGCGCAUGUCCUUCCGUCAGCUCUUCCAGGACCUGGCGCGCUACGUGCAGGACGCCGACGUGCGCUGGGAGUACUGCGUGCGCGCCAAGCGCGGCCAGACGGACACCUCGCUGCCAGGUUGUUUCAGCAAGGACCAGGUGUACCUGGACGGCAUCGUGCGCAUUCUGCGACAUCGCCAGACCAUCGAUUUCCCGCUGCUGACCUCACUGGGCAAGGUGUCCUAUGAGGAUGUGGACCACCUGCGGCCCCAUGGGGUGCUGGAUAAUACCCGGGUGCCCCACUUCAUGCAGGACUUGGCACGCUACCGGCAGCAGCUGGAGCACAUCAUGGCCACCAACCGGCUGGACGAGGCGGAGCUGGGUCGCCUGCUACCCGACUGAUGUCCAUUGAGGGCUGCAGACAGAGGCCCUGGACAGAAGCUCCAGAUAGGUCCCCAGAACAUGAAGCAGUUUGCUCUGUGCUUCCACGGCCUUGGUGUUUCUUGGGGGUGUUGGGAGGGCAGGAGCAUUCCUUGAGGAGGAGUGGCAACAUCAAAGUGUUU